rnacentral:rRNA from 1 species
CCUACGGGGAGGCAGCAGUCGAGAAUCAUUCACAAUGGGGGAAACCCUGAUGGUCCGACGCCGCUUGGGGGUAUGAAGGUCUUCGGUUUGUAACCCCCUGUGAUGUGGGAGCAAAUUAAAAAGAUAGUACCACUAGCGGAUGAGACGGCUAACUCCGUGCCAUCAGCCGCGGUAAUACAGAGUUCUCAUGCGGUGGUCGGCAUCACUAGGCGUAAAGCGUGCGUAGGCUGUUUCGUAAGUCGGGUGGGAAAGGCGCGGGCUCAACCCGUGGACGGCACAUGUUCCUGCGAGACUAGAGUAAUGGAGGGGGAACCGGAAUGCUCGGUGUAGCAGUGAAAUGCGUAGAUAUCGAGAGGAACACUCGUGGCGAAGGCGGGUUCCUGGACAUUAACUGACGCUGAGGCACGAAGGCCAGGGGAGCGAAAGGGAUUAGAUACCCUGGUAGUC